rnacentral:rRNA from 1 species
GUCCUAGCCGUAAACGUUGGGUGCUAGGUGUGGGCGGAUAUCAACCCCGUCCGUGCCGAAGCUAACGCAUUAAGCACCCCGCCUGGGGAGUACGGCCGCAAGGCUAAAACUCAAAGGAAUUGACGGGGCCCCGCACAAGCGGCGGAGCAUGUUGCUUAAUUCGAUGCGACGCGAAGAACCUUACCUGGGCUUGACAUGCAGGGGUGAAACCCGUGAAAACGGGCGCUCUUCGGAGCCUGCACAGGUGGUGCAUGGCUGUCGU